ensembl:misc_RNA 7SK 7SK RNA
GGAUGUGAGGGUGAUCUGCCUGUGACAUCUGCCACACCCUUGAGCACAGGGUUGACUCAGCUGAUCUCACUUGCUAGGCAGGUGCCCCCUCUUUCUCCUUCAAUGCUCUGUGUGUGUCCUUCCCAAAGCUGGGCUCUGGGCGGAAGAGGACAAACACUCUGACAGAGGAGGACAUUCCUUGGUCAGGGGUAUAGGAGUAGCUGUGUUUCCCUGCUAGAAAUGCCAAAUAUGUAUAUUUUUGCCUGUCCCCUUCAAGAAUUUAUUGUCAAACUUUCUGUGUUACUUUAAUUAUGUCUCUCAUAAAAUAUGGAUCUUUUGAACUAUAUCUAAAUAUUU